rnacentral:pre_miRNA from 14 species
UCAGGCGAUCCAAUGUCCUGGUUUUCCUGGGACUGAGGAUUUUCUCAGGACACAAGGCUUUCAGUGCCAA